rnacentral:tRNA from 1 species
UGGGGCGUCGCCAAGCGGUAAGGCAACGGCCUUUGGAGCCGUCAUCCCUAGGUUCGAAUCCUAGCGCCCCAG